rnacentral:rRNA from 1 species
CGGAAUGCUUGCGUGGGGACCCUUGCCAUGUUGAUCUCUUGGCAGAUUUGGAAUGAGCGGAAUGCUCGCGUCUUCCACCAUGUCCAGGCCCACCCAAAGACCAUUCUGUCAAAACUCAAGGGCGAGUCACGUUUAUGGCAGAAGACCGGCGCCAAGCAUUUGAGCUUCAUGAUAUUGGGAGAGUAA